AAAAUAACAACGGCAUAAUACAUUAGCAAUGCACCUGUAAGGGUCUUCUUCACACAGGCAUCAUGAAUAGUGGAUAGCUAUCAUUUACCUUUUUAUUUAGAGUAACAAAAAGUAGCUCCAAGAUCUAAGACUGCACAAACUUGGAGUAAUUCAAUCUCUCUGUCCCUCUCUCUUGACAACGCUAUCCAAUAUGCCCCAGACAUGCAGUCAAGUGGGAGAAGGAAAGACGUCUACACAUACCUAUUUUUUGAUUAUGGCAUACACCGUCUGUAGCUGGGUAAAAAUGAAGAGAAAGCCUGCAACAACCUGUGAGAUG
rnacentral:misc_RNA from 1 species